UACGAAGGGGGCUAGCGUUGUUCGGAUUUACUGGGCGUAAAGCGCACGUAGGCGGAUCGAUCAGUCAGGGGUGAAAUCCCAGAGCUCAACUCUGGAACUGCCUUUGAUACUGUCGAUCUGGAGUAUGGAAGAGGUGAGUGGAAUUCCGAGUGUAGAGGUGAAAUUCGUAGAUAUUCGGAGGAACACCAGUGGCGAAGGCGGCUCACUGGCCCGAUACUGACGCUGAGGUGCGAAAGCGUGGGGAGCAAACAGG
rnacentral:rRNA from 1 species